CACACACACAGAUCGUAGACUUAGCCACACCCAUUUUCACCUAGAGAAAAUACACACACUGACACACAUACAGAUGCAAACACUGACACAAAAACAGAUACACACAUACACAGGCUCAGACAUACACAGGUACAUACAUCCAAAUACACAGACACACAGGUGCAUACACAGAUACACACUGGCACACAUACAGAUACACUCACUGACAAACAUACAGACACACACAUUCUGACAUAUAUGCAGAUACACACAGAUACAUACACAGACACACAUGCAGUUACACAGACACCUACAGAUGCAUAGACACACAUACAGAUACACAAGAGCAUACACUGACACAAAUACCAAGAGAUACAC